rnacentral:lncRNA from 1 species
CGGGCCCGCGUGGCUCUCCAGCGCCUCCGCGUCCGCACGUCCACGCCCGCCCGCGCGCUCCCGCACACGCGGCCCCGCCAGAGCCGUGUCUCCACGUGCGUUUUCCAAACGGGGGAGCUCCCAGUGGCGCCCUAGGUCCCAAGCAGAGAAAGGCAUUUCUUGCUUCACAAGGCUCCUGAGCACAUGGGCGGUCGCUGUUGAUUAAUUAAGAAGAGAAGCACUUAUCCCCCCGGGGUGGGCGUGUCAAUCAGGAACCAGCCAGGAUAACCAAUGUCACUGGGAUUUCAACACUGGACAUUUCUUCCUCACAGUCUUCACCUAAGUUCCCAUACGGAGAGCCUGGCGGGGAGCCCAGAGAAUGGUGUGGUUUGCAAAGCGCCAGCCCCACUCUCACCAAGCAGAUGCGGAAGGCCGGUCCGCUGAGGGGGCAAUGGCUUGAUGCAGUUGUUAACCUCCACUGCUUUUGAAGCCACACUGCUCUGCCCUCUGGCACUGCUCUUCUGGACCCUGGUUUAAAAGACCACAAGAAGUUGUUUGCAGAAAACAAGCGCCAGGAUCUCCUGCAGAAAACAUGUUCCUGGGGAAAUGUGAAGAGUGUGGCCUAAAAGAAGACAUGAUGAUAUUGCAAUCUCUUUUACAACUUGGUUGAGAUAUAUUAGUAGUAGUAUAAAUUCUGAUUUCUGCAAUUGUGGGAUUUUGUAGAAGCUGUCUUGGUACUUUACAAUUUACGUUCACUGAGCAGUCUUGCAGGGCAGGACCUGGGCUAAGGGCUGUCAAAUGCUUUACCUCUUCCAAGCCUCUCCACAGCUGUCGUCUGCUUUUGAGUCACACACAACCACUUGCAGGAAGAGCUCUAGAGAAUUUGGGAAGAAAGGGGAGGAAGGAGAGACAAAAGGUGCAUUUUUUUUCAAGAAGCAGGAAAACAUCAGGAAAAUAAAGGUGCUCUCUCGUGCCUCGCCUGCAGCCUUGUCAGCCCCUGAAAGCUGAUGCACCGGCCUCCCUUCUCUAACGCAGGACCCUGACAUGCCCCCGUGGGCGUGGUGGGACGGCCAAGACCCAGAACCCACCCACCUGGCGCCUUCUCUGCCUGCCUCUGUGAGCUGGGCCAGCUCCUUCUCCUCUUGAGCCCUGGGUUGUUUUCUCUGUGUAUAAUAAAGGGUUUGGAAUGCUCAGC